rnacentral:tRNA from 1 species
AGGAUUAUAGUUUAAUUAAAACUUUUAAUUUGCAUUUAAAAAAUAAUCACACAAUUUAAUCUUA